rnacentral:rRNA from 1 species
UACGUAGGGAGCAAGCGUUGUCCGGAAUCAUUGGGCGUAAAGCGCGCGUAGGCGGCCCCGUAAGUCCGCUGUGAAAGUCAAAGGCUCAACCUUUGAAAGCCGGUGGAUACUGUGGGGCUAGAGCCGGAAGAGGAGAGUGGAAUUCCUGGUGUAGCGGUGAAAUGCGCAGAUAUCAGGAAGAACACCAAUGGCGAAAGCAGCUCUCGUGGGACGGUACUGACGCUGAGACGCGAAAGCGUGGGGGAGCGAAACAGGG